AUAUGCAACGUUUUCUUUUUGCAUUUGUUUUCAUUUAUGCAGCGCGUCUGUAUAUGCAAUGUUUUCUUGUUGCAGCACGUUUCUGUUUAUGCAACGCAUUCAUGUAUUUGCAGCUCGUUUGUGUAUAUUGUACAUUUGCCCCUGUCAGCCACCGUAGUAAAUGCAUGUUUUGUGUUUUUCGUCAGUAUAGCUGUUGCAAACUCAUGUAGGAGUAAUUAAUGAUGCAGUUAUUGGAUAUAGGUCACUUUUAUACAUCAAGUCAGUAUUAGGCAAAAAGACCUGCAGUGUAAAUGAGGCCUAGAAAUGUAUGUAGAAAUUAAGUUUUUUUCACAUUUUAACUGUAAGCAAAGAUAAAUUAAUUUGAAAUAAAGUUCAUGUACUAUAAUUCAAACACAUAACACAAUUUUAUAUCUUUUUCAGAUGCACCAUUCAAUUUUUAAGUCAGUCAGAAAGCCUGCAGUAGAACCAAGGGCGUCAGUUUGUUUUUAAAAGUGGGGGGGACGGAGACCACAGCACUUUGAGAAAAUGUCAAAGAACGGCGGCAAAAUGCCACGAGCUGGACUCGAACUCACAACCACCGUACCAAAGGCAGAAGCUCAAGCUGUUGAGCUAUUGGCACAUGCAGUUAGAAGGGUCUGUGGGCCGCUAUAGUACUAAUUCUCCCGGGCUGAAAUUUUGCCCCUGCACGCCUCUGGUCGGAGCUUCCACUUGGCACAGGCGCAAAUUUAGCAUCUGCGCGUUUUUUUUUUUUUUUUUUCUAACCUCACGAAGGUGUGCUGCGUGUCUGUGCAACUCUCGGCCGAGUGCGGAUGGUGCGUUCAGGAGCGUCGGAAUUUCCUAUACUACUGAAAAUAACUGGGUUUACAACAGCUUACAUGUGAAGAAUUUGAAUAUGUUGGAGACAAAAUGACCCCUGACAAAAAGUGGGGGGGACACGUCCCCACCGUCCCCCCCUAAACUGACGCCUAUGAGUAGAACGCUGCACAACAUGCUGCAGUUUGUUUCACUGCCCCCUUUGCCCCAAAGGCAUGUUUAAACCAAGCAUCCCGUCGAAGCUUCAGCGAGAUUUGGAGGUCCACCUAAAAAUGCCAUUAGGUAAUGUCAUUGCAUUUUAGAUUAAAGUUAUACGCACAUGCACACAAUUGUGUCAUGUGACUUGUUUGUCAUUGUCUAAUCUAAACAUUUUCUUGACUUGCUUUUAGAUAAGAAGAUCUGGACAGAUACAUCAAAAGCCCUCCUGCAAGGUGAGGUGUUACCAGUGUUUAGGCUGAAGAAAAGAAGGGUGGAUGACAUUACUAUGGAAGAAGAGCAGCAAGCUGAGGUUUCAGUCAGACCUGCUGAUGUGAGCACACCAGUGGAAGGGGACUCGGUUGAAGUGCGUAUUCUGCAUGAUUGCAGACAUGCAGCAGAGUGGGUUGAGGCCAAUAAGACACUCUUCUCUGCCAGAGUGGACCUGCCUGAAGUUCUAUACAUGGGGGAGGAGGAACAGGCUGAGGCUGCUCUGCAGUAUAAAAGACAUGGAUGAGCAGGAAAGGGAAGAAAUCCUGGAGAUCUUCAAAUUCACAUUCUACAACAUUGAGGACAUGUGGAAAUUUUGUGACAUAGUAGUGGACGAAAACAAUUAUUUGGCAUAUUGUGAAUGUCACAAAGAUGAAUAAUUGAAGGAUAACAGAACAUUUGAUCAUGUUGUGACUUUGUGUGUUCAUGUUUUGUUUUCUCAUUGAGCACUUAAUAAUUCACUUGAACUACACUGUAGAUCUCAAGAGUUUGGGUAGUAGUUGGUGGUAUUUAGGUGCUCCAGCAGCACAAGAACAUAAUGAGACGUAGCAAUCAUUAAUGAGAAGUGUUUUGAAAAAGACAAAUGCUAAUGCUUCAC